ACCGUGUACGUACAAGCAGUGGGAGCCUCUUAAUGGGGUGACUGCGUACCUUUUGUAUAAUGGGUCAGCGACUUAUAUUCUGUAGCAAGGUUAACCGAAUAGGGGAGCCGAAGGGAAACCGAGUCUUAACUGGGCGUUAAGUUGCAGGGUAUAGACCCGAAACCCGGUGAUCUAGCCAUGGGCAGGUUGAAGGUUGGGUAACACUAACUGGAGGACCGAACCGACUAAUGUUGAAAAAUUAGCGGAUGACUUGUGGCUGGGGGUGAAAGGCCAAUCAAACCGGGAGAUAGCUGGUUCUCCCCGAAAGCUAUUUAGGUAGCGCCUCGUGAAUUCAUCUCCGGGGGUAGAGCACUGUUUCGGCAAGGGGGUCAUCCCGACUUACCAACCCGAUGCAAACUGCGAAUACCGGAGAAUGUUAUCACGGGAGACACACGGCGGGUGCUAACGUCCGUCGUGAAGAGGGAAACAACCCAGACCGCCAGCUAAGGUCCCAAAGUCAUGGUUAAGUGGGAAACGAUGUGGGAAGGCCCAGACAGCCAGGAUGUUGGCUUAGAAGCAGCCAUCAUUUAAAGAAAGCGUAAUAGCUCACUGGUCGAGUCGGCCUGCGCGGAAGAUGUAACGGGGCUAAACCAUGCACCGAAGCUGCGGCAGCGACACUAUGUGUUGUUGGGUAGGGGAGCG
rnacentral:rRNA from 1 species